GGAAAAAUGGCGGCACUGCUGCUGCAGGAGUUGGAACCCUCUGAGAUUUCAAAGCUACCAAAAACGGUUCAAAACAAGCUCGAGAAGGUUUUUUCGGAUCAGCAGUAUGAAAUCGAUUCUUUGAAAGCGCAACAAGAACAGUUUCGAGUUGACAGCGAGCAACACUUCUUCGAAAAAGUGAAACAACUUGCUCAGUGCCAAGAAAAAUGUUUAUCCACGACUCAAGAACAUCUUAAACUCAAAGAUGAGUUUGCCAAGCAAGUGGAAGAUGUUAAAAGCUUGCGUGAGAAGAACAGGGAAUAUGAAUCUUCGCAAGAGAAGCUGUCAUCAGAGCAGACUUUGCUGUCAAAAGCCAAAGAGGAAUUGGAGGCAGAAAAGCGAGAGCUUUUGAGGACACUGGAGAAGAGGUCCUUACAAGUGGAGCAUUUAAAUGAUGACUUCAGGCAUCUCAAUGAUAAGUUGGCUGAGGUCAACACCUCCAAGAUGGCGCUGCAGAUGAAGUUUGAUGAACUUGAAUCGGCUGAAGUCAACAUCAAAUACAAGGAGAAGCGUAUGGAACAAGAGAAGGUGCUGCUGAAUGGCCAAACAUCUUGGCUGAAUGGGGAAUUGAAGGCUAAGAGUGAGGAACUGCUGUCCCUAUCCCGACAGAAGGGAAACGACAUCCUGGAGCUGAAGUGCAACCUGGAGAACAAGGAAGAUGAGUUGAAUAGACUCAAAGACCAAGUGGCCAGUUUGAAGUCUUCAAAUGAACAACUUCAGAAACAGAACGAGGACAUGGUCAGCAAACUAAGAGAAGUCAAGGAACAACAAGCCACCAUGGAGGAAAAGUACAGAAAUGAGCUGAAUGCCAACAUUAAGCUUUCCAAUCUAUACAAGGGAGCAGCAGCGGAUUCUGAGGCAAAAAGUGACGAGCUGACUCUGGCAGUGGAGGAACUGCAUAAACUCCUGAAGGAUGCUGGAGAAGCCAACCAGGCUCUUGAGGAGAAGUUGCAGGAUAUGAAUGGUGCCACAGACAAGAGUGUUGCUGAGCUAAAUGAGAGGAUCCAGGUUCUCGAGAAAGAGCUGGACAAUACCAACGAGCUGCUAUCAAGUUCCACACUUAGAGGUCCUAUUAGUUCAGCAUCUGUGAUAUCAGAAGAACAGCUGACAACAAUGUCUCCAACAGCAGCUGCUGUGUCCAAAAUCAAGCCUGGCAUGAGGCUGACAGAGUUGUAUACAGCAUAUUUGGAGAGCCAGGAGCAUCUGCAGCUGGAGCGAUUGGAGAACAAACGGGUCAACAAGUACCUGGAUGACAUUGUGCAGGAAGUGGAAGCCAAAGCCCCUAUCCUCAAACGGCAGAGGGAUGAACAUGAGCGCAUGCAAAAGUCGGUGACAAGCCUUUCUGCUAAGCUGGAGCACGCUGUUAUGGAAGUUCACCGUCUGCAGAAGGAAGCUGAUGAAGCUAACAAACGCUCGUCUGUUCUGGAAAGGGACAACCAGAGAUCUGAACUGCAGCUAGGAGACAUGGCUAAGCAAGUGCGUGUGCUGCUCAUCGAGCUGGAAGAGGCUCGUGGAAACUAUGUGCCUCAUGAGGACGAUGGGAGCUCAGCUGAUGUCAGCAGCACAUCAGAAGUGAUCAGCCAACACUUGGUGACCUUCCGUGGUGUGGAGGAGCUGCAGAAGCAAAACCAGCGUCUUCUGGUGGCCCUCAGGGAGCUCAGUGAGGCCCAGGAGAAAGAGGAGAUUGAGACCUCUGGAAGCAAGCGUGGUGAACUGGAGCAGAGUUUGGGUAAAGCCCAGGUAGAGCUGGAGUCUCUGAGGGAGCAACGCGGCCAACAGAUAAAGAUGACUGAGUCCAUCGUGAGGCAGAGGGACAUGUACCGUGUGCUGCUGGCUCAGGCAACAGGAUUCAGCUUCCCUCAGCAAGGUACACCACCUGAGGAUUUCUUCCUGACCUCCACCCCCGGACGCUCACCGGCAGCCAUUCCCACCUCAGGAACACCCACUGCCCUUGUCUCCAUGACAACAGAUUCUACUGAAGCCUUAGAAGCCAAGGCAGCUUUGCGACAGUUGCAGGAGGUGUUCUCCACCUAUAAGAAGGAGCGCAUGGAGAGUGACAAGUUAGUGACUGGGCAGGGCGAGAAGCUCCAGGAGCAGCUCUCAGACCUCCACUCCCAGAAUGCCAAGAUAUCCACUCAGCUGGAGUUUGCCUCCAAGCGGUAUGAGAUGCUGCAGGACAAUGUUGAGCGCUACAGGAAAGAGAUUGCUUCCCUCAGAGAGAAAGAACAGAAGACGGCUGCUGCCGCACAGAAGCACGAGCAGACCAUACACUCUUUGAAUGAGGAUUUGAGAGCUGCCAAAGAGAAACUAUCCAUGGCUGAGGGCCAUGCUCAGAGCAUGCGUAAGGAGAGAGACAUGCUGAAGCUGGUGGAGUCCAGGCUGAAUCAGGAGAAGGAGUCACUGCAGAGCCAACAACAGAGCCAGAACAUGCUGAUGACCAACCUCCAUGCCAUACAGGCCACUCUUGAGCGUUCAGAGACUGAUACACGUCAGCGUUUGAGUGACCAGUUGGAGAAGCAGGAACGAGAGAUCUCCCAGCUGCAGAAGAGGCUGGAGAACGAGGUGGAACAGCGCCACCUGCUCAGCAGAAACCAGGAGAUCCAUCUGAUGGACGCAAAGAGGCAGCUGGAGAUACAGGCUCCGUUACACCAGAAGACCAAAGAGCUGCUGAACGCUGCAGAGUUUGAGCUCAAAACCCUCAGAAUGCAACUCGGCAGCAGCGAAGCACGUCACUCCCUGAGCUCCCCAUCCACGCCUGUUCUCAGAGGCUUACCAGGUUCAGAUCAAGACCGAGAGGAGCUACAGGGUCGCCUGCGGCUGGCUGAAACCCAAGCAGAGGAGCUGGCAGUGAGCCUCAGGGCCGCCACCUCCAGCAUGGAGCAGUACAGAGCCAUGGCUCAGAGCAUGGAGGAAUCCCUGGACAAAGAGAAAAAGGUGACAGAGCAGGCACGCUCGUCCAUCGAAACCCGUUUGAAGGAGGCUGAGAAGCAGCACCAAAAGCUGGAGGAGAAACUUCUGGAGGCGGAGAAAGAGAAGCACAAUUCAGAGGAGCAGAAGAGAAGAGCCCUGGCCUCUCUGGAGGAACAGAUGGAGAAUCUCAGGAGGAGUCUCAGCAGUGCCCAGGCUGAGCACCAGGCGGUGCUGCAGCGCGUGGCUGUAGCCGAAGCUCAGCAGCAACAAGCUCUGCAAGACAGCCUGGAGCAGGCUAAGCUGGCAGCCGAAGCCCAAGGUAAGUAUGAGCAGGAGAUGUUGCUGCAUGCGGCCGACGUGGAGGCUCUGCGGGUCGCUAAGGCUCAAGCCCUGCAGGCCGUGGAGCUCCGCCUGCAGCUGGACGAGAGAUCCCAGAGGGUUGGUGCUGAGCUGCUGGAGGCCAGGGUCUCCUGGGAGGAGCAGGAAAAGAUCAUCAAGGAGGAGAUGGCGAAGAUGGAGAGCCGUCACGAUGAGUUGCAGAAGCAGAACACUCUCCUGCAUGAGCAGAUCCAGACCAUGAGCAGGAAGAUGGCCGACACUCUGCAACGUGCUAUCAAUGAGAGUCCCAUGAACAUCUCCCUGACUGAGGAGGGCAAAUCUCAAGACCAAGUCCUCGAGAUUCUCAGGUUUGUGCGUCGGGAGAAGGAGAUUGCAGAGUCUCGUUUUGAGGUGGCCCAAGGGGAGACCUUGCGUCACCGCCUGAGGGUGGAGCACCUGGAACGAGAGCUGAAGGAGAUGCAGGACAGCUUGAGUGCCGCAAAGGAGAGGAUGCAGGUCACAGCGAAGACCCUGGCGCAGCACGAUGAGCUGAUGAAGAAAACUGAAACUAUGAGCAUCCUGAUGGAGACCAACAAGAUGCUGAGAGAGGAGAAGAACAGGAUGGAGCUGGAACUUCAACAAACCCAAGCAAAAUUACAAAAGCUGCAGUCAGACAUCAUGCCACUGCAGCAGGCCAACUCUGAGCUGAGCGAGAAGAGUGGCAUGCUGCAGGCGGAGAAAAAGAUACUGGAAGAGGACAUCAAGCGCUGGAAAGCUCGGACCCAGCAUUUGGUGAGCCAGCAAAAGGAUUCGGAUCCAGAAGAGUACAAGCGUCUGCACUCGGAGAAGGAGGUACAUCUGAAACGCAUUCAGCAGCUCACUGAGGAGAGUACCCGACUCAAAGUAGAGGUUGCCAGGACGAAUACUCUCACAGUGUCUCUGCAAAGCCAGAUACAGAAUUUGCGUGACAAUAUGAUUAAAAUAAAUGAAGAGAGGAAUACACUGAAGAAAGAAGUGGAGGCCAAGAAACAGGAACUCCUGGAGAAAGUGCGAACUAUCACUCAGGUCAAGAAAAUUGGACGUCGCUACAAGACUCAGUAUGAUGAACUCAAGGUGGAACAUGACAAGUUGGUGGCUGAGGCGGCAGCAGGCCCAUCCCAAGAAGAGGAGGCUCGUCAGGCCUCGGUUCAGGAGCUGCAGAGCCUCAGAGACUCUCUGAGCCAGGCUGAAGCAAAGACCAAAGAGCUAGAGGGGCAGCUGGAGAACAUCAACAAGGUGGUUACGGAGCGUGAGACUGAAGGGCGAAACGCCCAGGACCAGGCCUCCAGGCUGCAGGCAGAGCUGACCAGGCUGAGGCAGGAGCUGCAGGAUAAAUCCACUCAGGAGGAAACGCUGAGGCAGCAGAUGACUGAGAAGGAGGACAAGACCAGGAAGGCCAUCGUUUAUGCCAAGCAGAAGAUCAACCAUCUCACAAACUCCAAAGACCAGCUUCAGAAGGAAAAUGAAGAACUGAAGCAACAGCGUGAGGAGCUGGAGGUGCGAGUGAGCGCUCUCAAGUCUCAAUACGAGGGCCGUCUGAGUCGACAGGAGAGAGAGCUGAGAGACCUGCGAGGCCAACAGGAGAGACAGGAGCAGAGAGACGAGCCGGCCGAGGCGGGGCCCAGCAAGACCCAGGAACAGCAGAGGAGCACAGAACAGAGACAGAUCAGUCUGAAGACCACCCCAGCGGCAGACAGGGGCAGUGCCAGCACAUCCGAGCCUCCAACAGCCAACAUUAAGCCCACACCUGUGGCGACAGGCAGCAAGCAGCCUGUCAAUCCUGGGAACAAACCCACUCCGAGAGCUAGCAUCCGGCCCAUGAUUACCCCAGCCACUGUGCCCACGCCAACACCCACGGCUACUGUCAUGCCAACCACACAGGUGGAGAAUCAGGAAGCCAUGCAGAGUAGCGAGGGCCCCCCGGUGGAGCAUGUGACGGUGUACGGCAGCGCCAGCGGCUCGGUGCGCUCCUCCAGCCCCAACGUUCAGACCACCUUAGCGAGCCCCAUGUUGAAUGUGCAGCAGACCCAGACGCAGGCCACAGCCUUUGUCCAACCAACUCAACAACAAAGCGUGAGCCAUGCAGAGCCAGCCAAUCAGGAGCCACCACCCGUGGUCAUCGAGGCAACACCUAGCUCGCAGGUUGAAUGGCCUUCAACGUCCUCUAGCUCCUCUGUGUUUGGGACUGUUUCAGCAACGCCAGGAAGCUCCAUGUCAAAGAGGCCUCGGGAGGAGGAGGAAAGCACCACCAUGCUCACUGACACGGACUCCACCCAGGAGGAUACCUCCCGGGCUCCCAUACCUAAGAAGCUACGCAUCAUCCAGAUAGUGGGUCCAGAGGAGGAGGUGCUGGCCGGGGACAGUGCUGAGGCUGAGGUGCCAACAGACAGUCAAGAUGGUGCCGAAGCAAGCCAGACGGAGGAGUUUCAAGAACUGGACGAGGGAGAUGAGGGUGCUGGCUCCCAAUCUGUCAUGAUGGAGCAAGAGGUCACCCUGUCCCAAAGUGGCACCCCUGAACCGCUGCUGCACGAAGUAAUCGUCAUAGUAACAGACACAGAAAGUGAGGAAGAACAGGAAGAUGAGGAUGAAGAGGAAGAAGAGCAGGAUUACGAAGAGGAGGAAGAAGAGGAGGAGGAAGAUGAAGACGACGAGGAGGAAGACGAGGAGGAGGAAGACGACGGAGAGAUGGUGGAGGAAGGAGAGGACAGUAACGAGGGCAGCGGAGACGGCAACGAGGCCUACGAAGGAGACGACACAGAGGGAGCUGAUGUAACGGACCCGGGCACGGAGACGGAGGAAAGUUUGGGGGCGUCUGACUCCACCCAGAGGCCGGCAGAUUCCCAGACAGCCAGCUUUGAGGGCAAUGCAAUGGAGGCCUUCUCUACUGAUCAAACUAUCACAAGCUCUGGUUCUCGGAUGCCCCAAUCUCCACGCAGACCAACACAUCAGCUGCCCUCUCGAAUGAGCAUCGCCCUGACAUCAGACCUGGGACCACAUGCCCAGCGUAACCCUGCCCGUCGUCAGUCAGUGGGAAGAGUUCCUCAGCUCGCCCCCGGGGUGCAGGGCACUUCUCAGCAUUUCUUUGUUGAUGAUGACAGUAUAGUGCCCUGCACCCCCACUCUGGUGGUGCCGCACCGCUCAGAAGGACUUGACAAUUCUUCCCAAGUGGCUGGUGUGCCUCGCUUCAGGUUUGGUUUUUCAGACGACAGCCCUCAGACCAGCUCGUCACACUCUGACCUGGCACAUCUCGCAUCACAAGGAGGUCUUGGGAUGUUUGAAAGUCCCUUGUUCCUAGCACCUCAUGAAGAGGAGUCGGGUGGACGCAGUGUUCCCACCACACCAUUACAAGUGACAGCACCAGUAAAUAUCUUCUCAGAGGCUCAGUCCGACUCCACUGAGCACGCCUCCCAGUCGGUUCCCAUAGUGAGCAUGUCCACGCCAGGAGGCGCCGGCUCAGGGGAGGACAGAGACGACGCCCUCCUGGAGCCAGACUCUGAUCGGCCCAGUGGAGAUAUGUCAGGAGAAUCAGUGGUCUCUCAGGGGGAUGUGGAGGAGUCAGGUCAGCAGUCCGACAAGGCCAGCCUCCCCUCCACCAGCCAGGAGCCCCCCUCCAGCUCCGCAGAUGCAAGCAGUGCUCCACCUCGACCCUCCAGACCUGGAUCAAGCAGACAGCUGCAGCGCUGGCCCGAGCACCGUGGGGGCCGCAUGAAGAGAGGAGGAUAAUCAUGACUGAUCAAGGGGCUCAAGGCUGUCCAUGAACCACAACCACCAUUUUUCUGGUCAGGGAUUUCCUUCUCGGGGUUUACACGGAAGACGAUUUGCGAGAUGAAGCACUAAUCAAAGGACUUGGCGACGGAUGUGACUGCAGUAGAUGUCCUUCCCUUUUAGAAACACAUUACACAUUUUCCGAUCUGCGUGCUCAGAUUCUUUAUUCAGCUUUGAUGGUGUUUAUUUGUUCUGAAGCCUGUUGUUUUUAGCUUUGCGUUUUUGUUUUUGAAUGUACUUUAAAGUACCUUUUUGUAAUCAGUCCACGCUGGAGCAGUGUGUUUUUAUGAAGAAUGUAAUAAAACUAUAGGAAAACAAAA